rnacentral:snRNA from 1 species
AUAUUUACCUGGCAAGAGAGAUAACAUGAGCAUGAAGGUGUUUUCCCAGAGCUUAUCCAUUUUACUUCAGAUGUGCUGACCCCUAAAUGCAGGAAACUGGGCUGUAUAAUUAACCGUAGUAGAGGACUGCAUUUGAGCUCUCCCCUC